rnacentral:rRNA from 1 species
CCUACGGGGGACAGCAGUGGGGGAUAUUGCACAAUGGGGGAAACCCUGAUGCAGCGACGCCGCGUGGGUGAAGAAGCGCCUCGGCGCGUAAAGCCCUUUCAGCAGGGAAGAAAAUGACGGUACCUGAAGAAGAAGCCCCGGCUAACUACGUGCCAGAAGCCGCGGUAAUACGUAGGGGGCAAGCGUUAUCCGGAUUUACUGGGUGUAAAGGGGUCGCAGACGGCGAUGCAAGCCAGGAGUGAAAGCACGGGGCCCAACCCCGGGACUGCACUUGGAACUGCGUGGCUAGAGUGCAGGAGGGGCAGGCGGAAUUCCUGGUGUAGCGGUGAAAUGCGUAGAUAGCAGGAGGAACACCGAUGGCGAAGGCAGCCUGCUGGACUGCAACUGACGUUGAGGCCCGAAAGCGUGGGGAGCAAACAGGAUUAGAUACCCGAGUAGUC